CCCCCGCUGGGACACAUGACCUGGGCUGUACAGAGAUUGGAUCUGGAGCAGUCAUGUGACCUGUGUCUGUCCAAUGGGAAUGGCUUAAGACAUUGGCUAGGAAUGCCGGGACUAAGACCCUCGUCCCUGCUGGGCAAGAACUUGGCAGCGUACAUCCCCUAAAUGGUAUCAGCGUUGGAAACCAAACUGUGGAGGACACAGGGAACUGUGGAAAGAAUCCCUGAUGCUGAGCCCCUCUGCAGCCCAGGGGAGGCUUGCUGCUCUGUGGUGAAUCUGAAGUCUAUUUCCAUUGCUCUGGGCCCAGGCAACAGGGCUUUCCGAAUUUGAGACCAUGAGUGUAAAUCUCUGUGUACCCCCAUCUGCUCCAAGGAUGGGGCAGGGGAGCUGCCCAAGCAAGAUUGCUUCCUUGGCUGCUGCCAGCCCUAGUCUAGCCGCCAGGUAGGGCAGCCCCGCCAGGGGCGGGGUGCUGGCAGUAGCUGGAGCAUAAUGAGGAAAUGGCCAGGAGCACCCUAACCUCCUUGAGGAAACCCCACACAAAAGAUAUGGGAGAGCCCUGCACCAGGGCUCAGGGGGCCUGGGUUCCAGUCUCGGCUCUGCUCUAACUCACUGUGGCCUUGUAUAAGUUCCUUCCCUCUCCUUCUCAGGGAAAGACUUAGGGCCAAAUCACGGGCAUCUUUGCACAUUGACAUCUUGGGCAAUGUUAAUAAAGUUCAUAUGAAAAAGUUCUGAGUUCGUAUUAGUUUGGGAAACACUGAGUUUUUGUUAAGUUUUCUACAGGACUUGUUAGUACAUUUAAUAUGGUAAGUAACGUGUCAGUGAAUUUCAAGGUGGGAGACAGAAUAUGCAUUAUUUUCUCAAACUUUUUGGUCAUGGAACACCUUUUUUGUUAUAGUGUUCCUUGGAACACAUUUCGGAAAGCACCAGAUGGGAAUCCUCAUGUGGCCAGUCUGCCUGUUCCAUCCUCAAGGAAGAAAGGGAAUGGCCAUGGCUGUCAGUGACAGCUGCUUCCCAUCGCCCGCGCUUGCGCGCCCGGCAGGUGGAGGCUGCUCUGCGAGAGCCGGCGCCGGGAGCAGCCCUGCAGGCCCAGACUCACCUGCUCAACACUGCUGGCCCCAGCAACUGGCCUGGAGACUAGCUGCAGAGGAGCAGCGCUGCCUGAUGAAGCCAGAGUGGCGCAGGGAGUCGGGACUGCAGGCCGGAGCUCGCCUGCCUGCACACUGUCUCAGCCGGGGGCAGGUGGGAGCAGCUUCAGGGACCCAGGAGAUACGCCCUCAGGGGAGCCCCGGACUUCUGCGGCACUGAUCUUCAGAAGGUUUGUGGGGACAGCUGGACACUGGCAACAGCUUUGAGGAAGCCUCCGCGGUGAGUGGGGGCUACAGGGAUGCAGCUGACGGGGCUGUGGCAGCAGGAGGGACCCCAAGACCAGGGGGAGCCCAGGCAAAGGACGGGACUCAGCUGGGCAGGGAGGAAGGGGUUCUUAGCUGCAGGUGACAGAAUCCCAUGAUUCUUGUUUAAGCCAAAGGGGAUUUAUCAAGGGGCAUAGGUAGCUCACAGCAGUACCGGGAUCCAAUAAACAGAUCGAGCUUCCAGGAGCGAAUCCCAGCGCCACACCCGGCACCGGGCCGCCAGGAGGCUGCUGCCUCUGCUGCCUGCGGAAGCUGAAGGCCGGGAGCUGCCGCCGCGCACCUGCGCCAAGACCGGCUCCAGUAAGCACACACCUCUGUCCUCCCUCCCCUCACAGCUCAGGUCCAAAGUCUCUUGCUCCAGGUUGGCACAGUCCCAAUUGGAACUCGCGGGAGUCCGGGACGCGUAGUUUCAGCUGCGCAGCCUCCCCGCGCAGAGAAGGGAGCCCAGGAGAGGAGAGCGGGAGCGGGCGCUGCACCAGCCGGCGACAUGCGUCCACCCAUGCUCCUUCCACGUCUCCUCUGCCGGGGCCGGGGAUCAGCCAGACCCUGGCGCACGGCCCUCAGUGUGGCUCUAGCAGUGGCCCUAUGUACUGCGGCCACAUGAGGGCCCUGGAGGCCAAACCCACCUGCCCGGCUUCUGAGCUACCACCCACAACUACCUCCAAGUGGUGUAAACAGAAAGUUUAUUAUGGGAUGUGUGGCAAGUCACAGAGUCACUUGGGAGGGCCAGAGACGCAGGUUUGGCAGCUGUAUAACAAAGAAGACCAUCCACAAUCUCGCUGCAGAGCCAGACCGCAGAGACUGCUCUGCUGCGGCACAGCCCGAGCACCCCCUCUCGCCCCACUGUGGCUCAGGCUACGACACGAAGGCCUGUGCCACCACGAUCCCUGGGGAGCUGGCAUGCCUGUGGCCACCUGGCCCCAGCAGACCACUCCGGUGCCCACCUCUCAGGCCACAGCUUCCCCUUGGCGGAAUGUGGGUUCAUGACUCUCCCCAGCCACAGGGGCGUCUAGGAAAGCAGGUGUUGGGCUUUCACAAUGGGAGACAGAGACUUACGGGGUGAGUGGGAGGUUCCCCCAACUUCUUAGGGUCUGAGUGACCAAAGAGAAUGACGAGUGCCACUUCCAAACCCCCAAAGCCUAGAGCGGAUAGGGGCUGAACAAGACACUUGGCUGCUGGGGUAUGGGUGGGGCCGCUGCAGCCCCCCACGAUUGCACCCCUCCCGGCCCUUCUCUGCUCCCAGCGCCAGCACACUGCCUGGCACCUCGUGGGUGUUGGCGAAAUGUUUGUGCCUGGAGCGGAGCCGCCUGCGUAGCUAAUAUGCCUGGCUCCGGAAACGUGCGGGCGUCUGCCUGGCAGCGGCGCCCAGCCUGCGUUCCAUCCAGAGAUGCUGUGGGGUGAGAAGACCGCGCCUUAGCAAGCUUCCUGCUAACUGUCACGGUGACCCUAGCGACUGGAGAUGGUUCUGAUGCCCGGGGAGGAGAGGGCGAGGACACAGCAGCACAAUAGAAUCGCAGCUGCCGUCUGUCUGCCCGCACGGCUCGGCGGCCGUGUACACCAGCUGGAGGCGGCUGGUUUGCGUCUGCCUCCUCCACCUACUCACCUGGGCAAGGUGCCCAGCCACCCUGCGCCUCAACUUCCCCACCCCUAAAAUGGGGAUGACGACAGCAGCAAAGUCGGCAUGAGACAUCAGGUGUGAGCCGGAGUGACGGCGCCUCCUGAGGCAGAGCUGAGCGCGGCUGCCCGUCUGGAGGUCAGCGCAGGGGCGGCUCUCAGCCGGGGCUCACCUGCCACCUGGCAGCUGGCGAGUGGCAGAAGUGGGGGUUGAACCCAGGUUUGUCUGACUGCAGCCUCUUACCCCAAGCCCAAGAAGGAGGGGGGAGCUCGAGCAGUGCCAGCGCGCCCACGUGCCCGCCCUGCUGGGCCGAGGAGCCCGCGGGAAGGGCUGCAGGCCACAGGCUGUGAGUGACGAGGCAGGAGCUGCAGCCCAGCCUGGCACCAGGGUGGCUUCCUGGGGGGGUGGCAUGGGCUGAGCUCUUGGUUAAAUUCAUUUUAUUGGGGGUAUGACUCAUGAAUAAUAAAACACAGCAUUCUAAGUGAA